UUAAGGGGGAUUAGGGGAAGGGAACAGGUAGGGAUCUUAUGGGCAGGAAACUGGGAAAGGGAAAAAACAUUUUAAAUGUAAAUAUAGAAACAUCCAGUUAAAAAAGCAAUAAAAUUUGCUAAAAAAUAAAAAAAAAUGGAAGAAAUUGAAGAAAAGAGAACUGCCAGAUAAUCACAUCCAUUAACUCGGAAAUCUAGAGGAUCACUAUCAGGGAAGGGUAGUAGAGUAAUACUAGUGAAAGACUGAGAUGGUGAAGUCUCAACUAGAAGCACUUCUCUCUCCCAGAUAUCAGUGUCAGACACAAACUGUACUAUAGGAAUCCAAAGCAUGCUCACUUUAUACCGAGCUUAGGACACAAUGCUUAUAUUUCCAUUAUUCCUUAGGACAUUUUCUUCUGGGCAAAAAGAACAAAAGCCAUGAGUUCUCAAGAAAACUAUUGUACCCUUCCCAACACUCAGAUUUGGGAUAAACAAGUUAAUGUUAUAAACUCUCUGACAUCCAGGAACCAUAACAAGCAGGGAAGUCCAGCUGCUGAGAGGCUCCCAGCUCCUGAUUCCCAUAUGAGGAAGGCUCUGAUCAAUGUUAUCUUUUCAUCAAACCAACUAAACCCUACACAAGAUUCACUGAGCUUUACCAUGGACAAGAUAUUUCUUCAUUUUUUUUAUACCAAGGUAGAAGGCCAGCUUCUUCUCCCCAUCUCUGAUAUCUUCAUCCUCUUUCUUCUCCCUCCCAAAUGGCUGUUUGCUCUGAAUCAAAGGCCAUUUAGUAAACCCUAGAGGUAAUGAAUGAAUAUCUGAGAGGCAGUUGCUUUCACGACAACACCUGUAACAUCACAGAAGAAGCUAGAGCCCUCCAGGAUACAAGAGAUUUUUCCAGGAGGUCCUAAUGAUGAUGUCACUGAGACCUGCCAUGGCUUACCUGCAAAACAUCUUGAGCAGGACCAUUUUCUUCUUGACAAAAAGAAUAAGGCUAUGAGAUCUCAGCAAAACAACUGUGCCCUGCCCAUCACUUGGCUUUGGAAUAAAAAAAAAUAAUGAUAUAAACUCUUUGACUUCCAGGAAUGAUAUGAACAGGUAAGUCCAGAUGCUUCUGAAAGGCUCCCAGCUCCUGAUUCCCAUAUGUGGAAGAUUCACAUCAAGCCUAACUCUUCAGAGAUCCCACUCAAUCCCUACUAAGGACUCUGAGCUAUCCCAAGGAUGAUGUACAUCUUCCUUUUUUUAUACAAAGAUAGAAGGCCAGCUUCCUUCUCCACAUCACUGAAAUCUUUAUCCUCUUUGUUCUCCCUCCCAUAUGGCUGUUUACCGUGAAUUAGAGGUCAAUUAUUAAACCCUAGAGGUACUGCAAGAAUAUCAGAGAGGCAGUUGCAGCCACAACAACACUUGUGAUGUCACAGAAGCAGCUAGGGAGUCCAGGUUACAAGAGAUACUUGCAGUAGGGCCAAAUCAUGAUGUCACUGUGAACUGCCAUGUCCUACCUGCUAAACAGAUUUCCCUACAUUGACCAGAUUUUGAGUGCCCUUUCCAGGUACGUCUCCUGUGACACAGUGGAAACCUUUACAUAGUCCAUCAUUCUAAAACUGUUGAAAUCUCUUUUCUUCAUUAGUGGUUACAUGCUUUGAAUGGGGAAAGUUAGCCAUGGGUUUGGCAUGUGUAUAAACGAUUUAAGAAAAUGGAGUGCAGGAGAUUCUUCUAGAUAAUAAUUUUUCCCAGGUUCAUUCCUGUGAAAUACAUAAAAAUUUUGUAGGUUUUCUCUGUUUCCCAAAGGCCAGUAUUCUCCCUACAGACCUUUAAUUGAAUGAAUAUUGUGUUUCAAUUUCUUAUUGUACAUUCCUUGAUAGGGAACUUUAUAAAUAUUCCUGAAUGUUUACUCAAAAAUUCUGUUUUAAAAUUCCAUUUUUUGCAAUGAUUUUGGCCCAAUGAUAAAGUGAAUAUAACAGUGUAAAUAUUGUGUACCUACUUCAAAUGAUAAACUCCCAAAUCCUUAUUUUAUCCAAUAAUCACAGACAUCAGUAAAGCAAAGGACAAUAUCAACUCUAGAAUGUGGUUCUGUAGUCCCAAAAGAUAAUCAGUUCUCUAAUAUCUCCCUUCCUUAUUUCCAAGGUUCUGACAUGAGGGUUGAGGGUUUUUUAACCUGAUUCUUUGUUCAGGCCAAACAUAAGGUUCAGGAGGAUGGACAGUGAGAGGAAUGUCUUGAGGUCCAGGGAAAACUUAACUUCAAUAGUUUCAUAAGUAGAGAAUGGCAUCUAUUUGGCAUUGUCAUUUGUGGAUUCUACAUUCUUGACCCAGUUGUGCAUAAUCCAUGUUAAAAUUCCACCAAACCUCAUAGGUGUAGGAGACACCAAAAUUACAUAAGAUUGAUGAAGCUAAGAGGUGCAUGCUGCCAAGAACUGGAGAAAGAUCUUUCCAGAGAGUCAUAGUUAGAGCAUGUUAAAUACAGAAGUGAAUGUUAGUGGUAAACUGGUGAACAGAAAGCAUGUCUCUUCUUGGUAGAUAUUUAGAAAGGAUUACAAGAGCUGAAGGGACUUUCAACCCCAUAAAAACAACUAUUCCAACAAACCAGAGCUUUCUGACACUAAACCAAUAUUCAAAAUCUGCCCAUGGAAAGUCCUAUGGCUCCAACAGCAUAUGUGGCAGAGGAUGGAUUCCUUGGGCACCAAUGGAUGUAGAAGCCCUUGGUCCUUCUCAGGUUUGGUUCCCAGUUCAAGGAAAGGUCAAGGUGCAGUAAGGAGGGUUGUAAAAGAAGGGGAGUCGGUCCAGUUACAACCUUAUGGAGAGGAAAUUUGGAAAGAAAAUAGCAUUUGAAAUGUAAAUAUAGAAAUAGCCAAUAAAAUAAGCAAAAAUUUACUAAAAAAAUGGAAGAAAUGAAAAAAGAAACUGCUAGCCAUUCUCACCUAUUAAUUCAGAAAUAUAAUGAGUAACUGUCAGGGAAUGGUAAUCAGAAUAAUAAUGGUGAAAAGACUGAUAUGAUUAAGAGUCGACUAGAAGCACUUCUCUCUCCCAGAUAUCAGUGUCAGACACAAACUGAACUAUAGGAAUCCAAAGCGUGGAGGAGUUUACCCUGAGAUGAGGACAUAGUACUUGUCUUUCACUUCUUCCUUAGGACAUUUUUCUUCUGGGCAAAAAGAAUAAAAGCCAUGAGCUGUCAGGAAAACAACUGUGACCUUCCCAAACUUGGGUUUUGGGAUAAAGAAAUUAAUGAUAUAAACUCUCUGAUUUCCAGGAACUGUAAGAGCAGGAAGUCCAGAUGCUUCUGAGAGGACCCCAGCUUCUAAUUCCCAUUUGUAGACGGCUCAGAUCAAGACAAUCUCUUCAUGAAACAACUCAACACCUACUAAGGACUCAGAGAGCUUUCCCAAGGACCUUUUUUGUACCAAGACAGAAGGACCAAAACCAUCAGCUUUAAAGAAAACUGUGCCCUUUCCAACACUUGGCUUUGGAAAAAAGACAUGAAUGAUAUAAAUUCUCCGACUUCCAGGAACCAUAACUAGCAGGGAAGUCCAGAUGCAUCUGAGAGGCUCCCAUCUCCUGAUUACCAUAUUUGGAAGGCUCCAAUCAAUACUAUCUUUUCAGCAAACCUUCUCAACCACUACCCAGAAAUGACUGAGAUUUCCCAUGGACCACAUAUUUCUUUUUUUUUAUAACAAAGCAGAAGGCCAGCUUCCUUCUUCCCAUCUUUGAUCACUUCAUCCUCUUUUUUCUCCUUCCCAAAGGCUGUUUAUGCUGAAUUAGAGGCCAAAUAGUAAACCCUAGAGGUACUGAAGGACUACUGGAGAGGCAACUUCUGUCAGGACAACACUUGUUACAUCACAGAAGAAACUAGGGAUCUCCAGGAUACAACAGAUUUUUUUAGAUAGGCCUAAUGGUGAUGUCACUGAGAAUUGCCAUGGCCUACCUGCUAAAGUGUUUUCCUUUCAAUGACCAGAUUCGAGGGUGCCCUUGCAAGGGCCAGACGUGAAGGUUUUCGAGGUUUUACCAUGGUUGUUACUUCAGGACAAACAUAAAAUUCAGGAGGAUGUGCAGGGAGAUGAAUGGCUUGAUGUCCAGGGAAACUUCAACUUCAAUAGGUUCAUAAGAACAAGAGGGAGGUGUUUGGAAUUGCCAUUUGUGGAUUCUACAUUCUUGACCUAGGUGUACAUAAUCCAUGUGAAAAUUCCACCUAACCUCAUAGCUGUAGGAGCCACCAAAUGUAUAGUUGGAACGAGAUGUACAUCUUUCCUGAGAGACACAGCUUGAGCAAGUCAAAUACAGAAGAGAAUGCUACUGGCACCAGUGAACCAAAAAUGGAUCUCUUGUUGGUAGUUUUUGAGAAAGAAUUACAAGAGCUUAAGGGGAUUUCAAAUCCAUAAGAACAACAAUGCCAGUGAACCAGAGCUUUCUGGUACUAAACCAAUAUUCAAAGACUGUACUUGGACAGACCUAUGUGUCCAACUGCAUAUUUAGCAGUGGAUGGCCUUGUUGGGAACCAAUGGAAGGAGAAGUUCGUGGUCCAACCUAGGUUUAACUCUCAGUUCAAGGUAAUAUCAAGGUUCACUAAGGUAGGUUAUAGAAGAAUGUUAGGAGGACUAGUUACGGGUCUUAUGGACAUGAAACUGGGAAAGAAAAUCAAAUUUGAAAUUCAAAUAUAGAAAUAUCCAAAUAAAAAAAGCAAUAAAAUUUGCUAAAAAUUAAAAAAAAUGAAAUAAAUUAAAGAAAAGACAUCUGUCAGCUAAUUACACAUAUUGACUCAGAAAUCUAAAGGGUAACUAUCAGCAAAUGGUAAUCAGAGUAAUACUAGUGGAAAGACUGAGAUGAUGAAGUCUCAACUAGAAGCUCUUCUCUCCCAAAUAUCAGUGUCAGACACAAACUGCACUAUAGGUGUCCAAAGCAUGGAGGCGUUUACACUGAGCUGAGGAGACAAUACUUGUCUAUCCUUUGUUUCUUCGGACCUUUUUCUUCAGGGCAAAAAGAGUGAAAGCCAUGAGCUCUCACUAGAACAACUGUGCCCUUCCCAACAACUGACUUUUGGAAUGAAGAAAAUGAUUAUAUAAACUCUCUGAAUUCCAGAAACCAUAUCAAGCAGGGAAGUCCAGAUGAUAAUGAGAGAAUCCCAGCUCUGGAUUCCCAUGUGUGUAAGGCUCAGAUCAAGGCUAUCUCUUCAGAUACAACACUCAACGCCUACCCAAGACUCACUGAGCUUUCCCAUGGACCAUUUAUUUCUUCCUUUUUUUAUACAAAGAGAGAAGGCCAGCUUCCUUCUCUUUUAUCUCCCUAACAAAUGGCUGUUUAGCCAGAAUAAGAGGUCAAUGAGUUAACCCUAGAGGUCCUCAAAGAAUAUCCAAGAGGCAGUUGCUGUCACCAUGACACUUGUGACAUCACAGAAAAGCUAGAGCUCUUCAGGAUACAAGAGAUAUUUCAGGGAGGACCUAAUGAUGAUGUCACUGAGAACUGCCAUGAUCUAACUGUUGAACAGCUUUCUUUACAUUGACCAGAUUUGAGGGUUCCCUUUCCAAGAGUGUCUCUUGUGACACACUGGAAACCUUUAAAUACUAUAUAUCUCUAAUGCUGGAGACUUCUCUUUGCUUCAUUCGUACGUACAUGUUCGGAAUAGAGAAUGUUGGUCAGGGGCUUGGCAUGGGUAUAAAGAUCUAGGAACAUGGGGUGAAGGAGAUUAUUCUGGAUAAUAAUUCCACUCCCAAUUCCAUUCCUGUGACAUACAGUUCAAGUUCCUAGGUUUUCUCUGUUUCCCAAAGUCCAAUAUUUUCCUUCCAGACAUUUAGGUGAAUGAAUAUUGUAUUACAUUUUUUUAUUGUACAUUCUUUGAAAGGAGACUUUAUAUAUAUUACUGAAUGUGUACUCAAAUAUUCUGUUUUCCAAUUUUAAUUUUUGCAAUAAUAUUGGCAACAAAGUUGGCCCAGCUAAAGCAUGAAUAUAACAGUAUAAAUAUUGUAUACCUACUUCAAAUGAUAAUCUCUCAAAUCCUUAAUUUAAGCAAAAAUUACCAGCCAUCAGUAAAGCAAAGGACAAUAUGGACUUUAGAAUGCGGUUCAGAUUUUCUUUUAGGCUUGAAAAAUUUUGCGAAGAAGGUUUUGUGGGUGUAUUUGUGUCUUUAUCCCUCCAUUGCUGGUCUUUCCAGUCAAUGGGAUUUGGCCUCUUAAUGUUUCAUAUCACCAAUGUACGUCACAGCUUAGGUCACCCCAUUGAUUCGUGGGUACCUCCAUUAUACCAGGUCUCUUUCUCUUCCUGGAGGUUUCUCCCACCUCCUCAUCUCUUAAAGUUCAAGAUUUCCUUUCUUUCUCAUGACUAUCGGGUCCUAUCUCCUGUCCCUUCACACACAGGAUCCAUUCUCCUCUUCCUUCCAUCUCUCAUCUAGUUCCUUUCCUCAAUCGGCCUCCUAGACUAUUUUAUUCCCCAUUCUAAGUGAGAGUCAAUCUUAUGCACUUUGGCCAUUCUUCUUGUUUAUCUUCUUUGUACCUUUAAGCUUUGUGGAGGAUGUCCUGUAGUUUAUGGAUAAUAUUACUUAUAAUUGAGCAAUUUCAACAACCCUCUUGAUCAUAUUUUACAGUAGUAUGUUAAAAUUGAAAAUUAUAAUUUAGUAUGAGUGAAUGUCAUGAGGACCAAAUUUAAGUAAAAAGAAACUUAAAACAAGAUCAAAUCACAGAUUUUAAAA